rnacentral:rRNA from 1 species
AUUGAACGCUGGCGGCAUGCCUUACACAUGCAAGACGAACGGCAGCACGGGGCAACCUGGUGGCGAGUGGCGAACGGGUGAGUAAUGCAUCGGAACGUACCUUUCAGUGGGGGAUAACGUAGCGAAAGUUACGCUAAUACCGCAUAUUCUGUGAGCAGGAAAGCAGGGGAUCGCAAGACCUUGCGCUGAUUGAGCGGCCGAUGUCAGAUUAGCUAGUUGGUGAGGUAAAGGCUCACCAAGGCGACGAUCUGUAGCGGGUCUGAGAGGAUGAUCCGCCACACUGGAACUGCGACACGGUCCAGACUCCUACGGGAGGCAGCAGUGGGGAAUUUUGGACAAUGGGGGCAACCCUGAUCCAGCCAUGCCGCGUGAGUGAAGAAGGCCUUCGGGUUGUAAAGCUCUUUCGGCCGGGAAGAAAUCGCACGGGCUAAUACCCUGUGUGGAUGACGGUACCGGAAUAAGAAGCACCGGCUAACUACGUGCCAGCCGCCGCGGUAAGAC